rnacentral:rRNA from 1 species
UACGUAGGCAGCGAGCGUUGUUCGGAGUUACUGGGCGUAAAGGGUGUGUAGGCGGUUCUUUAAGUUUGGUGUGAAAAUCUCCCGGCUCAACCCGGGAGGGUGCGCCGAAUACUGAGGGACUAGAGUACGGGAGAGGAAAGUGGAAUUCCUGGUGUAGCGGUGAAAUGCGUAGAUAUCAGGAGGAACACCGGUGGUGUAGACGGCUUUCUGGACCGUAACUGACGCUGAGACACGAAAGCGUGGGUAGCAAACAGG